rnacentral:rRNA from 1 species
GACAAGGAGCUCGAGCGUUAAUCGGAAUCACUGGGCUUAAAGGGUGCGUAGGCGGGCCAGUAAGCGCUUUGUGAAAUCCCCCGGCUCAACCGGGGAACCGCGGAGCGAACUGCUGGUCUUGAGGAAGCUAGAGGCGGGUAGAACGAUAGGUGAAGCGGUGGAAUGCGUAGAUAUCUAUCGGAAUGCCGAAAGUGAAGACAGCCCGCUAAGGCUUUCCUGACGCUGAGGCACGAAAGCGUGGGGAGCAAACGGG